UACGUAGUAGCGAGCGUUAUCCGGAAUUAUUGGGCGUAAAGAGCGCGCAGGUGGUUGAUUAAGUCUGAUGUGAAAGCCCACGGCUUAACCGUGGAGGGUCAUUGGAAACUGGUCGACUUGAGUGCAGAAGAGGGAAGUGGAAUUCCAUGUGUAGCGGUGAAAUGCGUAGAGAUAUGGAGGAACACCAGUGGCGAAGGCGGCUUCCUGGUCUGUAACUGACACUGAGGCGCGAAAGCGUGGGGAGCAAACAGGGAUUAGAUA
rnacentral:rRNA from 1 species